rnacentral:rRNA from 1 species
UGGGGAAUCUUCCGCAAUGGACGAAAGUCUGACGGAGCAACGCCGCGUGAGUGAAGAAGGUUUUCGGAUCGUAAAACCCUGUCUUUUGGGGCGAACGUGAGUAUGGUGAACAAUCAUAGUCAGUGACGGUACCAAAGGAGGAAGCCACGGCUAACUACGUGCCAGCAGCCGCGGUAAUACGUAGGUGGCAAGCGUUGUCCGGAAUUAUUGGGCGUAAAGAGCGCGUAGGCGGGAUAGUCAGUCUGUUGUAAAAGUGCGGGGCUCAACCCCGUGAUCGCAAUGGAAACAGCUAUUCUUGAGUGCAGGAGAGGAAAGUGGAAUUCCCAGUGUAGCGGUGAAAUGCGUAGAUAUUGGGAGGAACACCAGUGGCGAAGGCGACUUUCUGGACUGUGUCUGACGCUGAGGCGCGAAAGCCAGGGGAGCGAACGGGAUUAGAUACCCCCGGUAGUCCUGGCCGUAAAACGAUGGGUACUAGGUGUGGGAGGUAUCGACCCCCUUCCGUGCCGGAGUUAACGCAAUAAGUACCCCCGCCUGGGGAGUACGGUCGCAAGACUGAAACUUAAAUGAAUUGACGGGGGUCAUAGCUGUUUCCUG